CUCGUAGGUGGUUUGUCGCGUCGUCUGUGAAAUUCCGGGGCUUAACUUCGGGCGUGCAGGCGAUACGGGCAAUACUUGAGUGCUGUAGGGGAGACUGGAAUUCCUGGUGUAGCGGUGGAAUGCGCAGAUAUCAGGAGGAACACCGAUGGCGAAGGCAGGUCUCUGGGCAGUAACUGACGCUGAGGAGCGAAAGCAUGGGUAGCGAACAGGAUUAGAUACCCCCGUA
rnacentral:rRNA from 1 species